AAAGAUUAUUAUAUAGAUAUUGCUAUUGUCAUUAAAAUUAUGUAUCCAUUUGCAAUACAAAUACAACAAUGACCACACAAUCUCCUUCACUUCCAGUUCCCCGGCAUAAAAAGACUGCCAACCUUAGGAAACAAAAAUACUUUACAGCUACAUAGUGAAAGGAUCAUUUGAAUACCUUAUCACAUUAGCAGUCUGCAUAUGCAAAGGAAAAAGAGCAAAGUACAUGAUAUAAACCACUGAUCGAUGGACAUAUAUGCCCGGAAUUGAAAUCAAUGGUCAUACAGUUGGAACACUUUCAGAUCUGUACAGUCGGGUUUCAACUGUGGUCAUUCGCUAUUGUUUCUUUCAUCAGGAAAUUUAAUGCAAGUAAAGCAGCUCCUACCGCAGGCUCCACCUUUGGUCGAAUUAUACAAGCUGCUGGAUAAGUCUUUAAAAUAGAAUUAGUAACUUCAUUCCCAAUAUUCCACUUCUUGUUAGCUCCAAGUACGCCUCCAACCAUAACAACAGGGAAGGAGCCUUUCCCAUCUUCCCCGGCCAAAUGUAGUCUCUGGACAACAGCUUUGACACUUAUAGCCAAUUCUUGAACUGCAUUAUGUAAAAUCUCGUCGGCAACUUGAUCACCAUCCUCCGCACAGGAUACAACUACUGGGACAAGUGCUGCAAUGCGAGCCCAAGAUGGAUCUGCAUAGGUCCACCCUAUGAGUUCGUCUGGAGAAGAAAGACCUAGUGACUGUAGAAUACAACUUGAGAGCUUUGUCUGUGGACCUCGACCAUCAUGAGCCCUCAUCACUGCAAUCAAUGCCUGAGCUGCAAUCCCAUAGCCACUCCCCCAAUCACCCAAAACAGGCCCUGCACCAGCGGCCCGAGCUUCUCUUCCAUCUUCAGUAAAUCCAUAAGAAAUGCUUCCAGUACCAGCUAUUAAAACACAGCCAUGCAGUUUUCCCAUCGUGCCACUUGCUAUGCCUGAGCUGCAAUCCCAUAGCCACUCCCCCAAUCACCCAAAACAGGCCCUGCACCAGCGGCCCGAGCUUCUCUUCCAUCUUCAGUAAAUCCAUAAGAAAUGCUUCCAGUACCAGCUAUUAAAACACAGCCAUGCAGUUUUCCCAUCGUGCCACUUGCUAGAGCAGCCACGGCAUCAUUCUGAAUAUACAACUUAACAUGACUUGGAAAUGUGCUCCUCAGCCAGCCUAAUAUCUUUUCCUGAUCCUUUGAAUGGUUCACACCAGAUAAACCCAAACAAAUUGCUUGAACAGCUGAUCGUUUGACACCAGCAUCAGACAGCGCUUCUGCUAUAAUUUUUUCCAGUGUUUCUCUAGCUACAUCUUCUCCAACACUAUUAAAAUUAGAAGAUCCGGCAACGGCACGGCCGAGAAGUGGGAGUGGAUCAGGGAGAUUAUGGAUAUCGGAAAAGGGAAGAAGUGGCAUGCAAACACAGACUGUAGAGGUAGUGCCGCCAUCUACACCUAUCAUCACCUUGCAAUCAUCAGAUUCUGAACCCAUUUUUACCACUUGAUUAUGAUAUUUU
rnacentral:misc_RNA from 1 species